GAUGAACGCUGGCGGCGUGCCUAAUACAUGCAAGUCGAGCGAACAGACGAGGAGCUUGCUCCUCUGACGUUAGCGGCGGACGGGUGAGUAACACGUGGAUAACCUACCUAUAAGACUGGUAUAACUUCGGGAAACCGGAGCUAAUACCGGAUAAUAUAUUGAACCGCAUGGUUCAAUAGUGAAAGACGGUUUUGCUGUCACUUAUAGAUGGAUCCGCGCCGCAUUAGCUAGUUGGUAAGGUAACGGCUUACCAAGGCGACGAUGCGUAGCCGACCUGAGAGGGUGAUCGGCCACACUGGAACUGAGACACGGUCCAGACUCCUACGGGAGGCAGCAGUAGGGAAUCUUCCGCAAUGGGCGAAAGCCUGACGGAGCAACGCCGCGUGAGUGAUGAAGGUCUUCGGAUCGUAAAACUCUGUUAUUAGGGAAGAACAAAUGUGUAAGUAACUAUGCACGUCUUGACGGUACCUAAUCAGAAAGCAACGGCUAACUACGUG
rnacentral:rRNA from 1 species